rnacentral:rRNA from 1 species
UGGCGAACGGGUGAGUAACACGUGAGGAACGUGCCCCGGAGACCGGGAUAACAGCGGGAAACCGCUGCUAAUACCGGAUACCUUCUUUUGAUCGCAUGGUCAGCUGAAGAAAUGGAUUCCGCUCCGGGAGCGCCUCGCGGUCUAUCAGCUUGUUGGUGGGGUAACGGCCUACCAAGGCGACGACGGGUAGCCGGCCUGAGAGGGCGACCGGCCACACUGGGACUGAGACACGGCCCAG